AUGUUAUGUACAGCCUCUGUAUUAAAUCUGGAACCAUGAAGAAGCUUAGCAUGGCCUCUGCACAAGCAUGACCACACAAAAGUAAAGGGUUUCCUAUAUUU
rnacentral:snRNA from 1 species